UAGGGAAUCUUCCACAAUGGACGCAAGUCUGAUGGAGCAACGCCGCGUGAGUGAAGAAGGGUUUCGGCUCGUAAAGCUCUGUUGUUAAAGAAGAACGUGGGUAAGAGUAACUGUUUACCCAGUGACGGUAUUUAACCAGAAAGCCACGGCUAACUACGUGGCA
rnacentral:rRNA from 1 species